GGCUGGUCCGAGUGCAGUGGUGUUAACAACUAAUUGAUUACAAUCAGUUACAGAUUUCUUUGUUCCUUCUCCACUCCCACUGCUUCACUUGACUAGCCUUAG
ensembl:misc_RNA Y_RNA Y RNA